GACGAAGGGGCAGGCAGUCCAAGUGUGCAGCAGAUGGAGGGGCAGCAGCCUUCAGCCUUGGAGAGGCUUGUGCAGGCCCUCUAGAACCUUGGGGCAGAUUAGAGAAAUCUAGGAGUCCCUUUUGGAAGAGUUAGAAACAUUCUAGGAAUGUAGACAUGUCUUGAGUGCAUGUACUUAGGGACUUGUAUAACAACAUUUAUUUACUCUUAGUCAUUAGAGUAGUAUAAAUAGGAGAGUCAUUGUAUUUGUAAAUCAUCCAUCAAUUGACUAAUAAGAUACAGUCCUCUCUUCCAAAAUUCUGCCUUUUGUCUUUCUUCUUAUUUCUCUUAACGAUCCAAGUAGUAAAAGGCUUACUUGAGUUUACGAGAUCGUGCAAAAAUCGUGAGUAAACCGUCAAGUUCCGCACGAAGUCUUAUCAGAAUAAAAAAAGCCGUGACAUUAAGGUCUUAAAAAUUAUAAAAAUUAUCAUGCUAAAAAAUGUCAAAUGUAAAUGCAAUUUAGAAAAUCAUAAUUAUAACUCUAGUCUUAUUACUUGUCAACUAAAAAAAAAAAUCACAUUUCUCAUCCCCACAAUUUUUAAAUUAUCCAACCUUUGUUGCACAAAAAAAAUAAAAAAUAAAGCAUUACAAUUUAAGCAAACUUAAAACAAAGGAUAAAAUAGUCAUUUUAUUAUUCGCGCUUUCCCAUAAAAAGAAAUAGUAUAAAAGUUUGAAACGUAAGAAGCUCACUCACUUAAGCUUCUUUGUCUUUUUUCCCUUCUGUUGCAGUUUUGUUUGUAUUGCCUUUUUCUUCCUUCAUUUAAAUUCCAUGUUAUCUCCUUUUCAUCAUCGCCUUCUGUUUCUUCCCUCUUUAAGUUCCUUUGCUUCCUUCCUUCUCCUAUAAUUUGUAUCAGUCAAUUGAUAGCUUUAAUCAGUUUUCUUGUGCUUCUAAUUCGGUUUCACCGGAAAACUUGUGAAAGCAGAGGCGAAAGCAAUAUCGAUUUCUGUGCUGUUUGUAUCGCCUCCUUCUGUUUCUUCUUUGUCUUGUUAUUAUCGGCGUCUGUUCUUCGUUCUAAGUUCCUUAGUCUCCUCCUCUAUAGUUUGUAUCGGUGAACGAAAUCUGAAGGAUGUCGACAGCUCCGGCCGGUUCCUGUGCUCCCAUGAUCGCCAGCGGUGAAAUGGAUUCGGUUUCAGCUGUUUUAAAUGGUAACAAGGUGGAGAUACUUGUUCCUUUAGAGAGGACAGCAGGUGGAAGCGGGAAGAAAGUGAGGGUUGAGGUUCCGAGGAACUGGUUGAUUCCGUCAGCUAGAUCGACGGAUCAUGCUCAGUUGUUGGUUCAGAACCACCAGAAUUUCAAGGUGAGUGGGAUGCCGGCGAGGAUUAUGAUGUUUAAGGAUGGAUCGUGGGUGGAUUUCGAGAAAAGUGCCAUGGAUGUGCUGGUUUCAGCUUUUGUGAGUGGCGAGGCUAUGGUUGAGACGGUAAUGGGAGGGUUUACAUUCAUUUUUGAUUUUUAUCGAAUGAUAGGAAUCAAUUUGGACAGUGGGAAUGAGCUGCCCAUAGCUUGGAUUGAUGUCGGUGGUAACAGUUUUUACCCUAAGGUCUUCGUUGAGGGUUCAGAAAAUCUCGAUAAAAACGAGGUAAAUGUUGAUGAAAAGUUCUCCUCGGAGAAUGGUAAGGUUGAAUUUGAGAUAAAAAUCAUUGAGAGGAACUCAGCUGGAGAGGUGUUAGGAAAGAGGAAGAUGGGAAGUGAGGAAAACGAAGUGGUGAGGGAAGUAGGAAGUUCCUCUAGGGAUGUGAUAGAGCAGCGUGUUGUCUCUACACCUACUGAAUUGCUUCCACCGAAGUGGCCUAGAACAAGGUCAUUGGGGAACGAGGAGGAAAGCUAUCGGAAGGCAAGUAGUUUACUGAUUUCUAUUUUGAAAGUUGGUGUUACAGUCACUGCUGUUCAUCAGUGCACUAGAACCGGGCCAGUGGAACAGGCCCGGUUAGAAGUUUUCGUAAAUAAUGCGAAGAUAGUGAAGAGAAGGAGAGGGGACCCCAGUGUUCAGUAUGCCUGGUAUGGUACAUCCUCGGCAAAAAUUGAUAGUAUCAUGCGGCGCGGUUUUGAAAUGCCAAGAAUCAUACCGGGUAUUCAGACUCACGGUGUUGGUAUAUACAUGUCGCCUUUAUACUCACCUCAAAAGAGUCACAUGAUGUGCGAGGUAGAUGAAAAUGGUGAAAAGCAUAUCAUGUUAUGUCGAGUUAUAGUGGGAAAGCUCGAGAAGGUUGAGUUAGGAUCUCAGCAGCUGUUUCCGUCAAGUGCGGAGUUCGAUACUGGAGUUGAUGACUUAAUCAAUCCAAAGCUGCAUGUGAUAUGGUGUAGCAAUAUGAACACCCACAUUCUACCCAUAUUUAUAGUCAGUUAUAAAUCUGGCUGUCAUAUGUCAGGUUGACUGAAUGGUAGUGCUCAUAGCGCAUUGAUUCUAUAGAUUGUAUAGCUCCAAUCAGGAAGGCAAAGUAGGAAAAAGAAUUUCAUGACAGUUACAAUCUCUUGUUGGCUGUAAUCUUCUUGGACUUGGAUAAUUCAUGUCUUACUGACUACUCAUUAGGCCCACGACCUUCUUGGACUUGGAUGCUUUAUGUUAGGGCGCACAAGAUAUCAGCACUUGUCUCCUAAUUUGAUGGAGUUGUUUCACUUCUCAAAGGGCUAAGACCUUUUGGACCUAAUUGUUUCACGUAUUAAGGUACUCCGGUACAAGUUCCUUUUGCUUAAUUUUCUGUGUUUAUAAUAAACUUCGGAUAAGUGUCUUGUAGAAGAAGAAAGUUACUGCAUUUUUUCUCAAUGUCUCAUCAGCUGAUCGAAAUAUCACAGAAUCUAGUGAAGGUGAGGUGAGUGUGAAAAUCUUAGUGAUUGGAUGGCCUGAAAAACUGUACUUAGCACGUUUUGCUUUAAUGAGCAAGCAAAGACUAUGAUGCAAGUGAGGUGCUAAUAGUUCAGUUGUAUUUCCAUAUCUUUAGUGAAGCUUUCUUAUGGCUGGUUGCUACAUGAAAAAAAAUGUGGUCAUCUUUCAUGAGCAAAAUAGUGGGCUCCAAGCUUCCCCUUUUGCUUUAUUCUUGAAGGUUUAUCUGUUAUUUUCUUGACCAGCUAUCAUCUACACAAUUGAAGUGAUUGGUCCAAGUAUAUUCUUUCCAACAGAUUAUCUUGUCCUAGCAUGCAAGAUAGUUGGUUGUCACUUGCUGUUGCUUCAUUAUUCAGGUUCAUCUUAUAUUUGUCACCAGCUGUUGCUUUAUUCUUCAAGGUUUAUCUGUUAUUUUCUUCUCCGGCUAUUCAUCCAUGCCACUGAAGUAAUUGGUCCAAGUAUGUUCUCACCGACAGGUUUUGUCCCAACAUGCAAGGUAGUUGGCUGUCACCAGCUGUUGCUUCAUUCUUCAAGUUCAUUUCACAGUGUCACAGGUGUUUGUCUUGAGUGCAUUCUUUUCAUCAGGUUCUGACACAACCCCCCCCCCUUUUCUAGCUGCCUUUCCUUUUGACUUUGUUCUGAUUGCUUGGCUAGAAGGUGUAUUGGUUGUGGGGGAGGACUGCAGAAUAAUAGUUAAUGGAUUGUCAUUACGUAAUCCCCAUGUGGUGGUGCUUUUGUUGCUCCUUACUACACUAGUGGCCUCUGAAGGAUCAGAACCACAAUUUUUAGCUGGUAGUCCUGUCUAAACUAAUUGAGAUAGAUAGAGGAUAUGUCAAAAUUGAGAUGGGGGAGAUAAAAAGGAAGGCCUAUCUGUGUUAAUCAAUAAACAUCAUAAUAUAGUCCACAAAUUGCAAUAGAGAAAUUAAUCUGAAAAUAAUCAUUUCAUAUUUCACGAUAGCAUGUUAGUCCUUGAGUAUUCAUUCUGUUAGCGAAAGAAGUUUUGCGAUUUUCUGUCACACGGCGGAGAUGUAGAAAUUAAAACCUUACAAUCUAUUUUGAAAAAGAAUUGGUAGGACUAACUCAUCUUUAAAAAUAGAAUUUAAAACCUUACAACCUAUAUAGAAGAAGAAUUGGUAGGGACUAAGUCCUUUUUAAAACCAGUAGUUGAUUUUGAACCUACACUCAAGUCUCUCUAGGAGUUCGGCGCAGGUAUUUGAUUAAUUCUAUGGUUUGGACCAUCUCAGAUCUGCUACAUGUUGGUACGUAAAUCAGAUAUUUCAUGUUGAUGUUGAUCUGGAGAGCAGUUUUGGCGGGUAUGUAUGGUGUGUUAACAUUCUUUCAACUAUCUUCAUAAAAAUAUAUUGUUUGACAACCAAAGUUUACCAUUGCAAAAGAGAACAGGAUAUUUUCACCUUUUACUGUCAUCCAUUAAGCUAUGUUUAUACUGCUACUGGUCUGAGAUUGCAGAUGUAUUCUUUGAGGGUCGAGGUUUACUAUGUCAUGUUAAGACAUGCAAGAUUCAUCAAUAAUCCGUUGUAGUCUAGUCGUUAGGAUACUCGGUUCUCACCCGAGAGACCCGGGUUCAAUUCCCGGCAACGGAAUGAACAUAAACAUGACAUACUAAACAUUGGGUCGGUUUCAUUUUUCUGCUACAAGAAGUGUAAUAUUGUUGUAGAUAAACAAGGAAGAUAUGAUCUUAUGAGUCCGAUGCCUGCAAAGAUAAAUACAGUCUAAUGUGAGUAUAAAUAAUUUUCGAAUGAAAUUUUGUAACAGUACUGAAUCCUAGUCUUUUGAACUCAAUUUGCAGGCAGUUAGAUACACGAAUUAUCUCGCGUUGGUAUCCUCCAUGUGGCGCAACGUAAGCAGUUUAUUCUUGUGGCAAACAUGAACAAUCUAUCUGAUGCUUUAAGGUGCUCUUUCAUAGACUUAAAAAUAGAUUGGCAGGACCUCUGGUUUAUUUUUUCAACUGAUCUGCAUCUCUCCGAAGCCUCCGUUUUUUGUAUAUAAGUUUAACAUGUCAUUGCUCUAUAUAGGGGCAAAUCGAGUCAGUUGUAUCCAGUGAAUUCUGCAAAAAUUCUAAGCAAGUUGAUGGUAAGAAUUUUAUUUAUAUCGAUCGAGUACUUACUUGGUCGUGGUAACACACAACUUGAUCAACUCAAAAGCCCUGAUACAGUUGGAUUGUCAUCAUUGAGUGUUGAUUCUUCACAAACAACAGGUUCAUCCUCCUAGAUUUUGUAAAGAAACCACUCUUUUUUCAACUUUUGCAGGUGUUGGUUGAUUAUAACAUCUCUUUUGCUGGGAUUAUCAUAGAGUAUUACUUCUAGGAUUCAGAAACAUUUAUAUGGUGUUAAAAGGGAAUUUUCAUCGAGGCUUUAGAGAUGGAAUAGAUUACAUGUACUUUUCUUCAAUAAAAAUUCAAGCUUAGUAGAGAAA